GUAGGUGGCAAGCGUUGUCCGGAAUUAUUGGGCGUAAAGCGCGCGCAGGUGGUUCUUUAAGUCUGAUGUGAAAGCCCCCGGGCUCAACCGGGGAGGGUCAUUGGAAACUGGGGAACUUGAGUGCAGGAGAGGAAAGUGGAAUUCCACGUGUAGCGGUGAAAUGCGUAGAUAUGUGGAGGAACACCAGUGGCGAAGGCGACUUUCUGGCCUGUUACUGACACUGAGGCGCGAAAGCGUGGGGAGCAAACAGGAUUAGAUACCCUGGUAGUCCACGCCGUAAACGAUGAGUGCUAAGUGUUGGGGGGUUUCCGCCCCUCAGUGCUGCAGCUAACGCAUUAAGCACUCCGCCUGGGGAGUACGGUCGCAAAGACUG
rnacentral:rRNA from 1 species